CAGAGACUUAUCUCUUCCUCUUAAAUGGGGAUCACUAUGGGAGUGUUUUCUGGGAGUCUCUGAAGGAGGAAUUCCACAGAAUGUCAAAUGUUCUGAUCCUAGAGGCUCAGAGACUGGAGUGGCCCUAGUUCCACAGGAGGAGAAAGACUUUCUCUUUUUAAAACCGGAAAUAUAUCCUGCCUGAAAUAAUUUGGAGAACUCCUCGUUGUGAAGUCUACAGGGACAUCAAAAAAACACAGCUAUCUGUUCCCCAGCUAUAUCUUCUUCUUUAUCCCUUGGAACAUUUGUAGCUGCACUUCCUACAAGAAGGAACCAUUUGUAAUCAUGAGCAAAGGUUGAUUCAAGAUUUUAUCGAAGGUAUUUAAAUAUUCUUCAUUUGAAGAGUAGUUAUGUGCUUCUACGGGCAGAGGCCAAUCUAAUUUUUCUUAAUGUCCCCAGAGCCUACCAUGUUGCCUGACAAGGUAGAGAUGCUUGCUCAACAUUUACUGAAAAUGGAGGCUAAUAUCACAGAAAUAACUAAUCCCUCUCAAAUCUGGGGAUUUAGUUUUCUUUCACUCUGUCCCACCCCCCACUAAAUAUCCACAGUUUCCAUUCCUCCAUCCUUUUGAGUUAGGUAUAUUUUAAUUUUGAUUAUAUCAAUUUAAUAUUUCUAUUAUGAUGAUUACAUAAACACCUUUUAUAACCACACCCUCUUCCUUCUGCCCCUCCUACCUGUUCUUCCUCACCCUCAGCAACCACCAGCCUGUUCUCCAUUUCUAAAAUUUUGUCAUUUCAAAACCAUUAUAUAAAUAUGGAGUCAUAUAAUAUGUAACCUUUGGGGUAAGUUUGUUUCACUCAGCAUAAUUACUUAGAGAUCCAUCCAAGUUGUUGCUGCAUGUAUCAAUAGUUGCUUCCUUUUGAUUGCUUAGUAAGAUAUCAUGGUAUGUAUGCACCACAGUUUGCUUAACCAUUUCCUUACUGAGGAACAUCUGGGAUGCUUUCUGUUUUGGGCUUUCAUGAAUGAAGCUGCUUUGAAGACCCAGGUACAGGUUUUUGUAUGAACAUAAUUGUCAUUUCUCUGGGAGAAAUGCCCAAGAGUGCAAUUACUAAGUCACGUAGUAAUUGCAUAUGUAGCGCCACAAGAAACUACUGUUUUCCAUGGUGGUUGUAACAUUGUACAUCCCCACCAGCAAUGUGUAAGGGUUCUAAUUUCUCCACAUCCUCAUAGACACUUGUUUAUGAAACUUGUUUAGAAAAGCACUAUCAUGCUUUCUUAAAAUUUAUUUAAGCAUCCCAGUUGAUGGGAAGUUGCAUCUCCUUAUGGCUUUGAUUUGCCUUUACCUAAUAACUAUUGAUGUUGAACACCAUUUUUCACAUUCCUCUUGGCCGUUCCUAUGUCAUCUUUGAAAAAAUCUCUAUUCAGAUCCUUUGCCCAUUUUUGAACUGGGUUAUUUAUCUUUUUAUUACUGAGUUGUAAGAGUUCUUUAUGUAUUCUAGAUACAAGUCCCUUAACAGAUGUAUGGUAUUCAAAUAUUUUCAGUGGACUGAAUUUUCACUUUCUUGAUUGUGCCCCUUGAAAUACUAAAGUUUUAUUUUGAGGCAGUUCAAUUUAUUUAUUUUUUCCUUUGGUUGCUUAUGUUUUUGGUGUCAUAUUUAAGAAAAUGUUGUCUUAUUCAAGUUAAGAAAAUUUACACCUGUGUUAACUUUUCUAAAGGUUUCAUAGCUUUGGCACUUACAUCUAGAUCUUUAAUCCAGUUUGAAUUAAUUUUUGCAUGUGUUAUAAGGUAAGAGUCCAAAUUCAUUCUUUUGAAUGUAGAGUUUCAUUUAGCCCAGCACCAUUUUCCCAAAGACUAUUCUUUCUCCAGGAGAUGAUCUUGAUACCCUUGUUGAAAACUGAUUGACAAUAGAUACAUUGAUUCUCAAUUAUAUAUACACAAAUAUAUAUGUGUGCAUGUGUGUGUGUUGAUUACUGUAGCUUUGUAAUAGGUUUUGAAAUCAGAAAGUGUGAGUCCCACAACUUUGUUCUUAAAGAUUGUUAUGGGUAUUUGGGCUUCCUUGUACUUUCUUAUAAGUUUUAGGCUUAAUUUCUGUGUUCAUUAUAUAAACCUUCACUUAAUCUUUUCAACAUAGUUCCCUUACCCUCAACUGUGCCAGAGAUGUUGUUUACUCUCCAGAGGAUAAGUCCCCAGUCCUCUCUUGGGUAGGAGAAGAGUAGUUGCUGGCUGCAUGGAUCUGAAAUAGUCUCUAGAUAU
rnacentral:lncRNA from 10 species